UACGUAGGGUGCAGGCGUUAAUCGGAAUUACUGGGCGUAAAGCGUGCGCAGGCGGUUUGCUAAGAGAGAUGUGAAAUCCCCGGGCUUAACCUGGGAACUGCGUUUCUAGCUGGCAGGCUUGAGUGUGGCAGAGGGGGGUGGAAUUCCACGUGUAGCAGUGAAAUGCGUAGAGAUGUGGAGGAACACCGAUGGCGAAGGCAGCCCCCUGGGCUAACACGUGACGCUCAUGCACGAAAGCGUGGGGAG
rnacentral:rRNA from 1 species